rnacentral:rRNA from 1 species
GACGAACGCUGGCGGCGUGCUUAACACAUGCAAGUCGAACGGUGAAGGUGGAGCUUGCUCCGCCGGAUCAGUGGCGAACGGAUGAGUAACACGUGGGCAACCUGCCCCUGACUUCGGGAUAACUCCUCGAAAGAGGUGCUAAUACCGGAUACGAAUCCCGCAGGCAUCUGCGGGAUUGGAAAGUUUUUCGGUCAGGGAUGGGCCCGCGGCCUAUCAGCUUGUUGGUGAGGUAGUGGCUCACCAAGGUGACGACGGGUAGCCGGCCUGAGAGGGCGACCGGCCACACUGGGACUGAGACACGGCCCAGACUCCUACGGGAGGCAGCAGUGGGGAAUAUUGCGCAAUGGGCGAAAGCCUGACGCAGCAACGCCGCGUGAGGGAUGACGGCCUUCGGGUUGUAAACCUCUUUCAGCAGGGAAGAAGCGAAAGUGACGGUACCUGCAGAAGAAGCACCGGCUAACUACGUGCCAGCCGCCGCUGUAA